CAAAUUAUAAUUAAAUAUUUUUUAUUUACAAUAAAUAAAUCAGUUGUUAAAUUCAACUUAAUUUGA
rnacentral:tRNA from 1 species